UAAUUGAAGAGUUUGAUCAUGGCUCAGAUUGAACGCUGGCGGCAGGCCUAACACAUGCAAGUCGAGCGGCAGCGGGAAGAAGCUUGCUUCUUUGCCGGCGAGCGGCGGACGGGUGAGUAAUGUCUGGGGAUCUGCCCGAUGGAGGGGGAUAACUACUGGAAACGGUAGCUAAUACCGCAUAACGUCGCAAGACCAAAGUGGGGGACCUUCGGGCCUCACACCAUCGGAUGAACCCAGAUGGGAUUAGCUAGUAGGUGGGGUAAUGGCUCACCUAGGCGACGAUCCCUAGCUGGUCUGAGAGGAUGACCAGCCACACUGGAACUGAGACACGGUCCAGACUCCUACGGGAGGCAGCAGUGGGGAAUAUUGCACAAUGGGGGAAACCCUGAUGCAGCCAUGCCGCGUGUGUGAAGAAGGCCUUCGGGUUGUAAAGCACUUUCAGCGGGGAGGAAGGCGAUGGCGUUAAUAGCGCCAUCGAUUGACGUUACCCGCAGAAGAAGCACCGGCUAACUCCGUGCCAGCAGCCGCGGUAAUACGGAGGGUGCGAGCGUUAAUCGGAAUUACUGGGCGUAAAGCGUACGCAGGCGGUCUGUUAAGUCAGAUGUGAAAUCCCCGGGCUCAACCUGGGAACUGCAUUUGAAACUGGCAGGCUAGAGUCUCGUAGAGGGGGGGAGAAUUCCAGGUGUAGCGGUGAAAUGCGUAGAGAUCUGGAGGAAUACCGGUGGCGAAGGCGGCCCCCUGGACGAAGACUGACGCUCAGGUACGAAAGCGUGGGGAGCAAACAGGAUUAGAUACCCUGGUAGUCCACGCUGUAAACGAUGNNNNNNNNNNNNNNNNNNNNNNNNNNNNNAGGUACGAAAGCGUGGGGAGCAAACAGGAUUAGAUACCCUGGUAGUCCACGCUGUAAACGAUGUCGAUUUGAAGGUUGUGGCCUUGAGCCGUGGCUUUCGGAGCUAACGCGUUAAAUCGACCGCCUGGGGAGUACGGCCGCAAGGUUAAAACUCAAAUGAAUUGACGGGGGCCCGCACAAGCGGUGGAGCAUGUGGUUUAAUUCGAUGCAACGCGAAGAACCUUACCUACUCUUGACAUCCAGAGAACUUGGCAGAGAUGCCUUGGUGCCUUCGGGAGCUCUGAGACAGGUGCUGCAUGGCUGUCGUCAGCUCGUGUUGUGAAAUGUUGGGUUAAGUCCCGCAACGAGCGCAACCCUUAUCCUUUGUUGCCAGCGAUCCGGUCGGGAACUCAAAGGAGACUGCCGGUGAUAAACCGGAGGAAGGUGGGGAUGACGUCAAGUCAUCAUGGCCCUUACGAGUAGGGCUACACACGUGCUACAAUGGCGCAUACAAAGAGAAGCGAUCUCGCGAGAGUCAGCGGACCUCAUAAAGUGCGUCGUAGUCCGGAUUGGAGUCUGCAACUCGACUCCAUGAAGUCGGAAUCGCUAGUAAUCGUGGAUCAGAAUGCCACGGUGAAUACGUUCCCGGGCCUUGUACACACCGCCCGUCACACCAUGGGAGUGGGUUGCAAAAGAAGUAGGUAGCUUAACCUUCGGGAGGGCGCUUACCACUUUGUGAUUCAUGACUGGGGUGAAGUCGUAACAAGGUAACCGUAGGGGAACCUGCGGUUGGAUCACCUCCUUA
rfam:Sodalis sp. TME1 V4_final_sodalis.fa.Contig23, whole genome shotgun sequence.